rnacentral:misc_RNA from 1 species
CGUAGGUGAACCUGCGGAAGGAUCAUUAAUGAGUUGUCAUGGGGUUCGAUGCUGGCAGCCAGUUUUUGGAUGCAUGUGCUUGCCCUAACAAUCAUCUUCUUCCAAACACCUGUGCACAUUUUUGAGGGAGUCUUGAGUUGGUUGCCGCUCUUGGGUGAUUUUCUCACAUUCCCUUAAAUCAUUAUACGCUAUUAACAAUGUUGAACGUGCUCUGUGCCGCAAGGCCAUUAAUAUAAUACAACUUUUAACAACGGAUCUCUUGGCUCUC